rnacentral:rRNA from 1 species
UACGGGGGGGGCAAGCGUUGUUCGGAAUCACUGGGCGUAAAGCGCACGUAGGCGGCUUUCUAAGUCAGGGGUGAAAUCCUGGAGCUCAACUCCAGAACUGCCUUUGAUACUGGAGAGCUUGAGUCCGGAAGAGGUGAGUGGAACUCCGAGUGUAGAGGUGAAAUUCGUAGAUAUUCGGAAGAACACCAGUGGCGAAGGCGGCGCACUGGUCCGGUACUGACGCUGAGGUGCGAAAGCGUGGGGAGCAAACAGG